GGCGAUGAUUGUCCAAACGCAAUUCUUGUAAUGACAAACCAAGAACUGUGUUUGGACAUCAGUGCU
rnacentral:pre_miRNA from 1 species